AGAAAACUCAUUUUCACACCCAGGAGGUGACUGGGAGCUGACAGCAUCUGUGUCAGAGGAGUUUUCCAUAUGACCCAGCUGACAGACGAGUCAAGAACAAAUUCAACAACAUGAUGAUGCGUGACUGAAAACCUUCAACACCUAAUGAAGUCAGUGAGAGCUGAGAGUUUCCUCUGAGGAUAUGUCUGGCAAGCUUUAGAUUUGAGUUUCUUCUGGAAAAUGCAUCCUACUUGCAGUCACACAGUUUGGGAAAGUAUUUCUGGAUGUUUGAGCAUGACAGAAACUAUGCAGCUUUUUGGGCUGAACUCCUGAUAAAACUGUGGUACACUGGUGGGAAGGCUUCUGGGAGUCUGCUGUUAAAGUCUGCCUGCCACCAAAAUGAAAUGAGGUACCAUUGUGUCAAGUGGAGUUCAACUGUCUGCAUUUGUACUGCCAAUCAUACAUUCAAAAAAGGGAGUUUUUCUUGGCCUUAGUUAAAAAUAUUUCUGGAGUUCAUUUAUCUUUGCUGUCAGACCAAAUAACAUCGAAGGUAUAAAAAUUCUAUAGAUGAUUUUACUUUUAAGAAUGAACUAAUCUGAGGACUUCUCAUUAACUUUCAAGGACCAUUUGGCAGGUAUGGAAAAUGGAAAUGAGUCAGUCAAUCUACAAGCACUGUGAGUGCUCUCAAGUACCUGCACUUGACUUCAAGUUUUCCUGCCUAGAUUCUGUUUUCUUGGAUAAUUGACCUAAAAUGUCCUAGCCUCUCUUCAUGAAGGAACUAAAACAACAAGACACGGCAGAUGCAUCAGGGACACAGAGAAAUUAAGUGGAUCAAGAGGGGCCCAUCAUGUGUAGCUGGGUACUGCCCUCAGCUGUGCUAAUGUCUCCUGCUACCUCCUGUCUGCCUCUGCUUCAGUGGUUUAUUCUGCCUCUCGAUGCUUUUAAAGCCUCGUUGUCAUGACCUGACAGUUUCAGAUGAGACUUCAGGAAAGAUGGUACACAUUCUGAACAGUAAGAUACCAGGAGAGGAAGAGUCAAGGCUUUUAGAAAAGAAGGUUUUUAAAUUAAAACCUAUCACUUGCUAUGAUUUUAGGUAGAAAUUUAAGCAUACAUGGAAAGAUCCAUCAGUUACAUACAUUAUAAGAAGAGUGAGGCAGGUAUAAUUAUCUGUGUGCCCUAAACAAUUGUUCAAUGUGAAAGUAUUCUAUGCAAAGAUAUGUACAGCUUGUAUUUUUUUUUUUUUUUUUUUUUUUCAGAGCUGUGGGAGUUGGUUAGUUUUCUGGUGUUGUAGCUUUUUUUUUUUGUGCUUUUUAUUAAAACUUGGGACAGCCAAUUCGCCUAUGAUAAAGUAAGUAGUUAUAUUAAUACAUUCACGCUUAUUAGAUAUUUUCUAAAUUAUGGGACUAUAAAAAACCCUAAGGUACUUGCUAUGAAUUUUUAUCUUAAUUUAGUGUGUAGUGUCUUUGUUCAAAGAAGAGGGGUGACUAAAUGCAUAGUUCAUUUUUCCACUGGCAUACUGCGCUUUUGGUUGCAAACUGAAUUACAUUUUCAUUGUAAUAUUUUUCCAUUGCUUUCUCAGCAAUUUGGUUCUUGAUCAAGUUUUUAUGAAACUGUGUAUUAUCUUGAUCAACAUCCUAGGAAAAUCUACAUUUGUUCCUUCCCAGAUGGAGGUUUUCAGUACUUGAUAUCUAUCUGUAAUUGAUUUAUUAAUCAUCAACCUUCUUGUGGAUAGAUCAGCUUCAGUGUUGCCCUUUGUUCCAAGUUCUCAUGAGAAUGCUUUUUAGUAUUUUUACCAUAAAUUACUUUAUUGUUAUGGGCACUUUCAUAUAUGCACUCUUGUACAUUAUUAAAGGGGGUGAAACAACUGCAUGAAUUUUCCUAAAUAACCAGACAUCAUAUACAAAUUUAACUGAUGGAUAUUAUUGUUCUGUACGUGUAAGCAAGGUGUAUGUAUGAGCAACCCUCAUGAUGAUCAACAGGAACAGAGCUCCAAAGCUCUGGUUGAGAUAACUACUGCUAUUCAAUUUUUCAUUCACACUUGGUACUGUGUUUUCAUGUCCUCGUACUUUAUGAGGUUCAUGGUUCAUGGUUUCUUACUUUCUGGAGAUGUCAGUGAAACUGGCCAGACUGCUUCUCUGUUGUUUGAAGAAGGAGAUCUAUUUCUUCCAGAAGGUGAAAGGAUGGGAAGUAAGGGCACACCUGUGUUCUAUGAAGACAGUAGAAUAGUUAGACCAUAGUGUCUUGACAUGUGGUGUAUAUCACAGUUAUAUAGCAGUAAUGAAGAACAGAAGCUGAAAAUCUGGUAUUUUGUCUUGGUUGUGUUGUUGUCCCAGCUGCAAUUAGGUGAGAUUAUGUUUGCUUUUCAAUGCCUCCAUUAUCAUACUUAUUGCAAAUAAAGCUUUCUUUUGUUUC